GUUCUCAGGAUCGGACUGAGGAGAAAGGAUAGGGUUCUUUAUAUAAAAAUAAUAAUAUAUGAAAUAAUUAGUAAAAAACUUCAAACUUAUACAUAAUUGUUUAUAAACAUUAAAAUAGUACUGCAAAUUUCAAACAAUUAACAUAAACUUAAACUAAUCUAAAUCUUUAUUAAAAGUUUAUUAAAACGGAAAAAAAGUCUGACCAGAGUUCGGCUGAUUUUCGACUGAGUCGGUGUAUUGUUAACAAAGUUAACCCGAUGCUGAGCCGUUGACCAAUUUUAAUCCUAUCCGGUCUGAAUCGUCUGUAAAUGGCCGAUCCUGGAUCCGAUCCGGAUUUCUUGGCCGAUUUUUUGCAAGCCUGUGUUUAUGAUCUGAGACCAAAGUCAUCAAACUAACAGAAGUCAGAGAAUUAUGCAUAUUUUUUAGCUCGAUCAAUGUCGAGUCAUCCGGGUGAUAGAUAAAAAGAGAGAACAAACAUGUCUUCCCUCUUCUGCUUGUUUUUCUUAUAUUUCUUUUUGUUACUUGUUAGAAGUUUUGAUAAGUGAUUAACUUCGUAAUUAGUGGUGAUGUUCUUUUCUUUGUUUUGUCCUAAUAUAUAGAAGGUUACCUCAUUUGUGUUCUAGUUUGUCAGUGUACUUUUAUGCCUUUAUUGCGGGUCGAUAUCGUUAUCACUAUCAGUCUAUUGCCUCCAACUUUUCAUUACAUUGAGGUUCUACACUCUUCAUUACCAUGCUUAAAAAGCAUCUUGUCUCCGUUAGCUAUGUUAAUAAUUCAAUGUUCAAGCUACAUGAUGCAGCCAAAGAUGGUGGUAUCACAAUUCUUGGUGAAAUGGGCUUGGAUCCAGCAAUAGGCUAACUCAAUACCGAAUGACCCAUCGGCCAACAACUCUCUUCUUCCCACCACUCCUACCAAGAUUACAAACUCAUCUUUAAAUCUCAAGCUGUGUUGGAUAGAUGACAGUGCUGAAGCUACUCGGGAAUACUGAGUAAAUAAUUUUAUGUUAAAUGUACAAUACUUAAUAUACCUUAACGAAAACCCACAGGGUUUCGUUUAACAAAACCCUAAUGUCAACUAUGGUCAGACUCGUCCCAGGAGGAUUAGUCUCUGCCAGCUUCACAUCAACACUACGUCAAAAACGCAGUGGUGGAUCCAGGUUGCAAGCUCAUAGGGGUCCUUGUAACCCUAAAGCGAUGGAUCAGCUUGAAAGGAAAUUGGAAUACUUAGGGGUUAAGAGACUCGUUUUGACUGCUGUUUCAGAGAUGGUUAGU